AUUGAACGCUGGCGGCGUGCCUACUACAUGCAAGUCGAGCGAAGCGGGGCCGGGUGAGUAACACGUGGAUAACCUCCUAUAAGACUGGGAUAACUUCGUGAAACCGGUGCUAAACCGGCAACUGUUAGAUGUAUCCGCUCUGCAUUAGCUAGUUGGUAAGGGAACGGCUUAACAAGGCAACGAUGCAUAGCCGACCGUAGAGGGUGAUCGGCCACACUGGAACUGGGAAACGGUCCAGACUCCGACGGGAGGCAGCAGUAGGGAAGCUUCCGCAAUGGGCGAAAGCCUGAAGGAGCCACGCCGCGUGAGUGAUGAAGGGCUUCGGAUCGGAAAACUCUGUUAUUAGGGAAGCGGUACCUAAUCAGAAAGCCACGGCUAACUACGUGCCAGCAGCCGCGGUAAUUC
rnacentral:rRNA from 1 species